rnacentral:rRNA from 1 species
UGGGGAAUAUUGCACAAUGGGCGCAAGCCUGAUGCAGCCAUGCCGCGUGUGUGAAGAAGGCCUCCGGGUUGUAAAGCACUUUCAGCGGGGAGGAAGGCGGUGAGGUUAAUAACCUCAUCGAUUGACGUUACCCGCAGAAGAAGCACCGGCUAACUCCGUGCCAGCAGCCGCGGUAAUACGGAGGGUGCAAGCGUUAAUCGGAAUUACUGGGCGUAAAGCGCACGCAGGCGGUCUGUCAAGUCGGAUGUGAAAUCCCCGGGCUCAACCUGGGAACUGCAUUCGAAACUGGCAGGCUAGAGUCUUGUAGAGGGGGGUAGAAUUCCAGGUGUAGCGGUGAAAUGCGUAGAGAUCUGGAGGAAUACCGGUGGCGAAGGCGGCCCCCUGGACAAAGACUGACGCUCAGGUGCGAAAGCGUGGGGAGCAAACAGG